GACAUUUCUGUCGACGGCAGUUGGUCGUCAGGCCUGAGACCACAUUUUUUUCGAAUUCGGUGGUGAGGCUAAAAAUGAAAAGGACUAAAUACGUAAUUAUCCCUUUCGAACCACUACUAGAGAAAACGUGAAAUGUGGUGAAACGAUUCUACACCACUUGGGACACCGGUGUUACGCCACUCCGUACUGCACAAGCGGAAUCAGCAUAUCGGUCGAAUCGCAAGGAUAUACGUGUAAAGAUCCACAGAUCACAGCAUCCAGCUUUAAUCGUUCGGAAAUGGUGGAGAGAGUGGCAAAAUCAAACGUUCCUGUACUUUCAGACUAAUACAGUAGACGUUCGAUAACUGCAAGUCAUUUAACUGUAAUGCUUUUUAACUGCAAUUUGAUAGUUGCAACAGCUUUGCAGUUAUCGGACCGCCAAACUUCAAAACGGUGUCAAAGUCGAUGACAGCUGCACUGCAUUGCACAAUUCGAUGCUCUUUUGUUGCAUCUGACGUCGACUGACAACCGUUUGA